rnacentral:rRNA from 1 species
GCAUAUCAAUAAGCGGAGGAAAAGAAACUAACAAGGAUUCCUUUAGUAACGGCGAGUGAACCGGGAAAAGCUCAAAUUUGUAAUCUGGCUGUCUUCGAUAGUCCGAGUUGUAAUCUAUAGACGUGUUUUCCGUGCUGGAUCGUAUCUAAGUCCCUUGGAACAGGGUAUCAAAGAGGGUGACAAUCCCGUGCUUGAUACGACGACCAGUGCUCUGUGAUACACGUUCUACGAGUCGAGUUGUUUGGGAAUGCAGCUCAAAAUGGGUGGUAAAUUCCAUCUAAAGCUAAAUAUUGGCGAGAGACCGAUAGCGAACAAGUACCGUGAGGGAAAGAUGAAAAGCACUUUGGAAAGAGAGUUAAACAGUACGUGAAAUUGUUGAAAGGGAAACGAUUGAAGUCAGUCGUGUUCUUCAGAUCCAGCUGGUUCUUCCAGUCUACUUCUGUUGAACGGGUCUACAUCAGUUUUGUCCGGUGGAUAAAGGUAGUAGGAAUGUGACUCCCCCGGGAGUGUUAUAGCCUAUUAUUGCAUACACUGGGUGAGACUGAGGACUGCAGCUCGCCUUUUGGCCGGUCUUCGGACACGUUCGAGCUUAGGAUGUUGACAUAAUGGCUUUAAACGACCCGUCUUGAAACACGGACC